rnacentral:rRNA from 1 species
AUGGUUCUUAUUCAUGAAAACUUUGCCAUUUCAUUGUGCAACCAUCUACCUGUUCAGAUAUCAUAUUUGUGGUUAUCUGUGGUUCAUUGUCUACCAGAAACAAUACUAGAAGUACGGAAAGAUGGCAAUCCAGGAACACCUUUUAUACUUGGAACUAGGGAGUCUAGGCAUAUUUAUGCAAUGGGUCAAGGACUCAAGGGGCUGUUUGUUGCUGCCCUGAAACAAACUAGCCCGGCCGGACGCCCUCCUCCUGAAAGUUGUCUGCUUGGAGACCUGAAGCUUGUACCGCUCCAGCAUGUCAGGAAUCACGUUCUUUGA